rnacentral:lncRNA from 1 species
UUUUUUUUUCCCUGUAAGUUUGUUUUCCAAUGGUAAAAGUAGAUUAAUGUUCAUAAUUAAAUCAAUAAUUUACAAAUAAAACCUAAACCCAUAAACAAAAUCUUGCCAAUGUCCCUUCAUCUCAACUGUAUACCAGGUGAAAAUUUCUUUAUUUGCGAGAUAGCUGUUUGUAAUAUAUUUGUAGUUAGUAGAGUUGCUUAUUUUAAUAUAUAUUUAUCAUUUUGAAUAAGUUACAUAUUGACUCAUAGCAAUGAUAAUGUGCUUUACGUGUUUAUGCUACUUUUCACUGAGUAUUUUGGCAAAGCUGGGGGGCCACCAUGUGAUGUGGUCUUUGUGGCCUGUGGUCAAAGCACUGGGCUAAAAUUCUAAGACCCAAGUCCAGCCUUCAUCCUUUCUCUGCUAUUUUUAACAUCUGAGCUACAAGUAAUUACUUUUAGUACACUAGUAACAACUUAUCACUCUCAUACUCCAAAAGAAAAAUGUUAUACUGAUAACAUUCCCUGAAAUGUUAUUAAUUUUGGAGGUUGAAUAGUCCCUGAAAGUGCUAUUACUUUUUUUUUUUUCUUUUUGUCAUGGCUAACAGGAAUAUUGAAAAAAAUGAUGCUAGAUUUUAAGCAAAAAAAUGCUUUCUUUCAAAUAAAUUGAUAUUCCCUAACCCACCUACAUUUCAGGUAGAUACAAGCAGAAGAACAAAAGAGUUCCUUUAACUUCGUGCAAUUGCCUACUGAGAGUAAAAAUUUAUGUUUCUUAGGAUAUAGUAAAAGGGUUGGAGAGAAAGCAAGUGAAGCUAUAAAUGUAUUUGCCUGCCAAAAUAUGUAAUAAGUCAGUACAAAGUACUCCAUCUCAUUUUUUAACAUGGAUAUUUAAACAAAG